UACGUAGGGUGCAAGCGUUGUCCGGAAUUAUUGGGCGUAAAGAGCUCGUAGGCGGUUUGUUGCGUCGGCUGUGAAAUCCCGAGGCUCAACCUCGGGUCUGCAGUCGAUACGAGCAAACUAGAGUGUUGCAGGGGAGACUGGAAUUCCUGGUGUAGCGGUGAAAUGCGCAGAUAUCAGGAGGAACACCGGUGGCGAAGGCGGGUCUCUGGGGCAACAACUGACGCUGAGGAGCGAAAGCGUGGGGAGCGAACAGG
rnacentral:rRNA from 1 species